GCCUUCGUGGUAUAACUGGAAGUACGUCCGAUGCGAAAUCGGGAGGCACAGAGUUCGAAUCCCAGCGAGUGCG
rnacentral:tRNA from 1 species